AUAUUGUAUGGAAAGAGAGAAGGUUAGCACUUCCCUUGAUAAGGAUGGAAGAGGACCUAGUGGCCUUAAAACACACAUACAGUUAAGGCAUUGCCAUCCACUCUGUGGCAUCUAACCAUGUUUUUUU